rnacentral:misc_RNA from 1 species
GUGAAUCAUCGAAUCUUUGAACGCAAAUUGCACUCUCUGGUAUUCCGGGGAGUAUGCUUGUUUGAGGGUUAGUUUAUUACAAUUCGUAAAAAGAAAUUUUUACGGAUCUGGAUUUUCCAAAAGUUUUAUUUUGGUAAUUUUAAAAUUUAUAAUAAAAAUAGGGGAUUUGGAAAAGUUUUUU